GGCGUCGGUAGUGCAAUUGGUUAAGCGUGCGCCUGUAAAAGGUGAGACACAGGUUCGAGUCCUGGUUGACGCCA